UUGAACUGAAAAGCAAUUACUCAUACGUUCAUGUUGGUUAAAUGUUAAAGUAACGAAAAAUCAGAGCUAAGCAUUACAUUCUAUGAAAUUAAUUCCCAUUUUAAAAUAGUCUGUCAAGUUAACAUUCAAAUGUGGAAGAUAAAAGACACUUGAGAAGCCUCUCUGACUGUUCUGCGCUUCUGUCCUAAGAGCCAGCGUUACACUGAAAACACAGUGAGAGAGUGAUGACCUUUACUCCAGGCUCGAUGUCUUUGUGUGCACACAUAUCUGGAUCUAUGCUGCGGGCAGCCAAUUCUCCAUUACUGGGGAACUGCUUUGAAAGUUGCUUGGUCUUCCAGGCCUCUUCCUUCCUUCUCCCCAGUCCAGAGUUCAUGAAUACACCCACAGAAUGGAAACAGAAAUACAAUUCUGGGGGGACAGCAAUAUGCUCAGCUAAAAGAUGACAAUUCCCAGUCUCCCUCGUGGAUAGGUGUGACCAUGUGAAAAAGAUCUGGCUGGUGAGAGCCACUGAAAUGACCUGGAGGAUAGAAGCCACGUGUUAGGCCGAGGAACACACAGGCGGAAGGAGCCCAUGUCUCUGGUGAUCAUGAAGCCAGCAAGUAUCUGGGAACUGCCUACUUCAGAUGUCCUUCAUACAAGAGCAAUAAACUUCCAUGUUGUUUAGGCCACUGUGACUUUGGCAUUCUUUUACAGGAAGCUGAACCCAAUCCUAACUGAUAAAAGAGGCAGCCCAAGGCUGUUUUUGGAACAGAAAAAGAACUAGACUUUCAAAUUUUCACAAGAUUUUCAAAAGAGAGAGGGUCUUAGUUUGGCUAGGACAAGGCUAACUCCAGAAAUCAGGAAGCGUUGAGACCCUGGAGGCCAAUCAAGUGUCAAAUGGUAGCAGACCACUAUGUUCCUUUCUUACUCUUCUGCAGAGAAAAUGCAAACAUCACCCAUGCCUGCAGCCAAAUGCCUCAGUGUUUUGUGUAGGAAGCAAAAUCCUGAAUGGAGUUUUUCUCAGACCCCAGGAAAUAGUCUUAAUGGGUUUAUCCAGUUUAUCCGUAUUGAUACAGAAAAUGUCGGGCACCGGGUUGUUGCCUCUUGCCGCGUCCCCUCGCUCCGCAUCUCUGCAGGCCAGCGCUGUGCAUGGCCAGUUGGAGAGCACGCUGCUGGGGCAGGGCCGUAGCAGAGAUCCCCCCAGGGCCCCACGUGCCAGAAUGCUCCCAGGCCCACCUGCCGCUGCCUGUUUCUGGCCACGCUGCUUGCGUGAUCCUGAUUGGGUAAUUUUUGAAUUCCACUG